GACGGGCGGCGUGCUUACACAUGCAAGUCGAACGAUGAAGCCCUUCGGGGUGGAUUAGUGGCGAACGGGUGAGUAACACGUGGGCAAUCUGCCCUGCACUCUGGGACAAGCCCUGGAAACGGGGUCUAAUACCGGAUAUGACCGUCCAUCGCAUGGUGGAUGGUGUAAAGCUCCGGCGGUGCAGGAUGAGCCCGCGGCCUAUCAGCUAGUUGGUGAGGUAGUGGCUCACCAAGGCGACGACGGGUAGCCGGCCUGAGAGGGCGACCGGCCACACUGGGACUGAGACACGGCCCAGACUCCUACGGGAGGCAGCAGUGGGGAAUAUUGCACAAUGGGCGAAAGCCUGAUGCAGCGACGCCGCGUGAGGGAUGACGGCCUUCGGGUUGUAAACCUCUUUCAGCAGGGAAGAAGCGAAAGUGACGGUACCUGCAGAAGAAGCGCCGGCUAACUACGUGCCAGCAGCCGCGGUAAUACGUAGGGCGCAAGCGUUGUCCGGAAUUAUUGGGCGUAAAGAGCUCGUAGGCGGCUUGUCACGUCGGUUGUGAAAGCCCGGGGCUUAACCCCGGGUCUGCAGUCGAUACGGGCAGGCUAGAGUUCGGUAGGGGAGAUCGGAAUUCCUGGUGUAGCGGUGAAAUGCGCAGAUAUCAGGAGGAACACCGGUGGCGAAGGCGGAUCUCUGGGCCGAUACUGACGCUGAGGAGCGAAAGCGUGGGGAGCGAACAGGAUUAGAUACCCUGGUAGUCCACGCCGUAAACGGUGGGCACUAGGUGUGGGCAACAUUCCACGUUGUCCGUGCCGCAGCUAACGCAUUAAGUGCCCCGCCUGGGGAGUACGGCCGCAAGGCUAAAACUCAGAGGAAUUGACGGGGGCCCGCACAAGCGGCGGAGCAUGUGGCUUAAUUCGACGCAACGCGAAGAACCUUACCAAGGCUUGACAUACACCGGAGAGCAUCAGAGAUGGUGCCCCCCUUGUGGUCGGUGUACAGGUGGUGCAUGGCUGUCGUCAGCUCGUGUCGUGACAUGUUGGGUUAAGUCCCGCAACGAGCGCAACCCUUGUCCCGGGUGGCGAGCAAGCCCUUGUGGUGCUGGGGACUCCGGGAAAACCGCCGGAGUCAGCUCGUAGAACGUGGGGACGACGUCAAGACAUCAUGCCCCUUUUGUCUUGGGCUGGCCGCGGGCUACAAUGCCCGGAACAAUGACCUGCAAUCCGGGGGGGGGAG
rnacentral:rRNA from 1 species